AACUUUUAGCAACGGAUCUCUUGGUUUUGGCUUCGAUGAAGAACGCAGCGAAAUGCGAUAAGUAAUGUGAAUUGCAGAAUCAGUGAAUCAUCGAAUUUUUGAACGCAUAUUGCACUCCUUGGCAUUCCUUGGAGUACACUUGUUCGAGCGCCGGUUGCGUCGUAAGGCCCAGCCUUGUGUUGAGGUUUCCUUGAUCAGGAAUCCUCCAAACCCAUGGGCGUCGUCGUACCCGAACCGCAACACAAUGCGACACUCGGGAGCGCGGCGACCGCCGAAAACCGUCAUGCAUGGCCUCGAAUCAAGUGGGGAUACCCGCUAAACUUAAGCAUAUCAAUAAGCGGAGGC
rnacentral:misc_RNA from 1 species